AAUAAUAGGGCCCUCUUGGCCGUCAUGAUUCGGAGCUAGUUUCACUGAAAUUAGACAAAGCCUUGGCAAACAAUGUGGACAGUUCCACAUUUCUGAAUUUGCGGUUUUGAGCAUAAAAUGAAUUGGCACCUUUGAUCGUGGCCGGAUUUUUAAAGAUUGAGUGCGUGGUCUGUAUCGCACUUAUGCACUGAAUCGAGAGAGAAAGACGGCUUGGGCGCCCCUUCGAGAGGGGUUGUUUGGUUGGGGAACUGGGCGUUAAGCUCCGGCCGGCUUUUAUCGGGGAGGGUCUUCUUCUUCUUGGACCUCUCUUUCCACGUCUCCUUCAAAUAUCUCCCGAAGCUUUGGUCUUGUCACAGUUCGAAAUAUCGUUCUACUGAUCACACCUCCUACUUUUCGUUCUCCACGAAACUUAAAACCCCAACCUUUAAAAUGGCCGAUAUCGAGACCAAGACCCAAGAGCCCACCACUGAGCAAAAGCCCACUGAGGAGGUCCCCGCCGCCACUGAGGCCGAGGCUCCCGCUACCACCGAGGCCGCUCCCGAGGCCAAGAAGGAGGGUGGCGAUGCCGCUCCCGCUGAAGCUGAGGCUGCCACCGAGGAGUCCUCGUAAAAUCCACCAAGAUGCAUCAAUCUUCCAAAACAUCUUCUCUCAUUCUGAAGAACAUGUCAUUUUAGAGCAACGCUAGCUAGCAAUUUUAUUUUAUAUCAAUUAUGUACAUAUCUUAGUCCAUCAUGAGGCCUCUUUCUCUCGUCCCUCGGCACGAUUCCACCAUCCAUCACUAUGAUUUUGAAUCUUGACCCGAGUCAGCAAUGACCGGGGAUCAAGCGCAAAUGAUUAGGUCGAGAUGGGCGGGAGAGGGGGUUCUCGGCCAUGCCUAUAUCUUGUACCGUACAUGUAUGCUGAUAUUAACAUUGCAAUCCCGUUCGCCUCGUCAAAGACAUCAGGCGCAUUUUGGAAAUGUCAAAAUGUGUCCACGGUUGACCUUCACUCGAAGUGGAAACCAACAUCCACACCCACCACUUCCUUGGCGAGGAACUCUUCAUAUCCGUCGAAGACACAGGCGGCAAUUGCCGCUCGUUUUGCGGAUAUGCAAGAAACCCAUCCCUCCUCCCACCGUUUUCCAACCCUGAUGUCGGCCUGUAGCAAAAGGAACGCUUAUCCGGGCAUAUCUGCAGAAUACUCGGAUAAAUAACCAAGUUCCGUUGAAGAUAGUCAAUCCAUUCAGUGACGAGAAUGAGAAAAAUAUCAGAGCAAAAGAAGACAACCAAGGAAAAAAUUAAAACGAAACUGUUUGCAUUUUGGACAUUUCUUGACAAUUUGGCUAUUCAAAACAACUCGAUGGAUUUGGCUUUAGAUAUGACAGUUUCGUAUAAAAAUGAGACAUCACACAAUAAAUCGUUCAAAAAUGA